rnacentral:rRNA from 1 species
GACGUAGGGGGCCAGCGUUGCUCGGAAUAACUGGGCGUAAAGGGUCCGUAGGCGGUGCAGCAAGUCGAGAGUGAAAUCUCUGGGCUUAACUCAGAGACUGCUUCCGAAACUGCUGUGCUCGAGUGCGAGAGAGGCGAGUGGAAUUGCAGGUGUAGCGGUGAAAUGCGUAGAUAUCUGCAGGAACACCAGAGGCGAAAGCGGCUCGCUGGAUCGCAACUGACGCUGAGGGACGAAAGCUAGGGGAGCAAACAGG